rnacentral:rRNA from 1 species
ACGAGCCCUAGCUUAAAACUCAAAGGACUUGACGGUAUCCUAACCAACUAGAGGAGCCUGUUCUAUAAUCGAUAACCCACGUUCCACCUAACCACUUCUUGCUUUCAGCCUGUAUACCUCCGUCGCAAGCUUGCCAUUUGAAUGCAUACAGCAUGCUUAAAGGCCUUACGCCAAAACGUCAGGUCAAGGUGCAGCUCAUGAAGUGGGAGUAAUGGGCUACAAUCUCUAACUUAGAACAAACGAAAUAUUACAUGAAACACAAUAUGAAGGAGGAUCUAGCAGUAAAUAAAAAACAAUAGACCUUAUUAAACUCGGCCCUAGGAUGUGUACACACC